CGUAAUACAAGCUUAGUUGAUACAAGCUCUACAAGUAUGGGAAUCACUGGUCUACAAGUGUUUUCUUCUUCUACAUGUAGCUCCUUCAAUAGUCAGGACUGGGCAUUCCACGGACGCCCUGUUACCUGAAUCAGCUGAUAAGAAUUAGAAAAACUGGAGCCAAUAUAUUAUGAACAUUCCAUUCAAAAAAGGAGUAAAGAACAUUCUUUGUUUCAUCAUGUUACAAAGGAGCAACACAAACCACAACUUUACUCCACACACACACACACAUGAAUAUUAAGUUCAGUUCCAGUAACUAUAUCAUGGUUUAACAGAGCAUGUAAUGAAUGACAGUUCAAUUUCACAGCCGGCCUCAACAUCAUCAAACCACCAUGCUUAUGAUCAUAAUCUAAGCAUAUCAUCAAACAAAACCUACACAGAUAAAGAUCACAGCACAUCAAGCCACAGGCGCACCAGCGGUGGCAUGAGAUUCAACGCAACAGCGAUGGGGCUACCACAACAGCAUCAAAAACCUACACAGCAACCGACUGUUUACUGAUAAUGAAAACCAGCGGCCUACUCACACACUUUGCGCCUUGACUAACUGUCAAAGCAUCUUCAGAUUUGUUAACCAGUUUGCCAAUAAAUUCAGUUGAUUACAUGUCUGAAUACUUCAAACCACUGAUUUUGUACCAAAUUCAAAGAACACACAUAAGCCAAAAAAGCUACAUUCAGGGGCUUAAUGCUACAUCCACAACAGUCUGACUUCUCAAAUGGCAGAUUCACCUUCCGAACCAUGUAGGAGAAAAACAUAGACCAUGGAAUCAACAGGUAAUCGUACCUUGAGCAGCAGAGCAGGCGCCUCAGACGAUCACGAGAGCACGAUCCCGCCGCAUUGCCUUGCUGCUGGCCUCGUCGGGCGCUUCACCAUUGGCCAGAGGAGGAG
rnacentral:lncRNA from 1 species